rnacentral:rRNA from 1 species
GAUGAACGCUGGCGGCGUGCCUAAUACAUGCAAGUCGAGCGAACGGACGAGAAGCUUGCUUCUCUGAUGUUAGCGGCGGACGGGUGAGUAACACGUGGAUAACCUACCUAUAAGACUGGGAUAACUUCGGGAAACCGGAGCUAAUACCGGAUAAUAUUUUGAACCGCAUGGUUCAAAAGUGAAAGACGGUCUUGCUGUCACUUAUAGAUGGAUCCGCGCUGCAUUAGCUAGUUGGUAAGGUAACGGCUUACCAAGGCAACGAUGCAUAGCCGACCUGAGAGGGUGAUCGGCCACACUGGAGCUGAGACACGGUCCAGACUCCUACGGGCGGCAGCAGUAGGGAAUCUUCCGAGAUGGGCGAAAGCCUGACGGAGCAACGCCGCGUGAGUGAUGAGGGUCUUCGGAUCGUAAAACUCUGUUAUUAGGGAAGAACAUAUGUGUAAGUAACUGUGCACAUCUUGACGGUACCUAAUCAGAAAGCCACGGCUAACUACGUG